UUUAUUCUUUUCUUUUCCUCUCUGGCUCCCUCUCUCUGUCGAGAUAUUCAUUCUCUCAUUUUCUUUCAGUCUCAUCUAUUCCAUCUCUAUACGCUUGAAAUCUCACCAACUCUCUCAUGUCUCACUUUUCAGAUAUGGUCAACUGAGAAAGAAUGGAGAUGAUAAUGUAGACGACAAAGACAGAGACUCGCUGGGACGAUGCGCCGAGGCUCACCGGAAAAGGAGACGCGCCGAGGCUCACCGGAUAAGGAGAUGCGCCGGAGUAGAUGAGGCAGAGAAGAUGAUGUUUGGUGGUGGUGCAUAGGUCCGAGUAAGAGAUAGAAGAAGAAGAGGGGAAGAUGACGAGUUUGGUCGCCUCGGCGGUAGAUCUGGAAGAAGAUGGAUGAGACGGGGCUUCAGGGAGAUGACCACAAUGGUGGCGUGGAGAAGGUCCGAGCUCCGGUGUACUGGAAGAUGACGACCAGCUCGGAGCUCUCGUGAUGGACUCUCGGUGGAGGGAGGCGGCGGCAGUGACAUUAGUUAGGUUUAGGGUUAGAUUAGAUUUUUAUAAUUAUAUUUUAUUGUUAACUAGAUAGGGUUAACCGGAUAAGGAGACGCGCCGGAGGUAGAGGCCUUGAUUUGGGCAAUGGAAUGCAUGAAGAAUUUAAGACAGUUUCAGGUUACUUUUGCAACGGAUUGUUCUCAAUUGGUGAAGAUGGUUUCCGAACCAGAAGAAUGGCCAGCAUUUGAAAGCUAUUUGGAAGAUAUCAAGCUCCUCAAAGGAAGCUUCCUCAACUCAGACAUCGUCCAUGUACCUCGGAUGACGAAUCUUCGGGCAGAUAGCUUAGCACGUAGUGCAAGAAAGCAAUUGUCCUUUGUCGUUCACAUGGAUGCGGAGUUACCAAUAUGGUUUACAGAGUCAAUAUGAGUCUGUAAAUUUCUUGCUGUCAAAAAAAAAAAAAGUUUUGUAAACCUGUUUAAUUGUAAACCGGUUAAUUGUAAACCGGUUAAUUGUAAACCGGUUAAUUGUAAACCGAUUAAAUUUAUAAAACAGAUUUCUAUUUGGUUAAUUCAUUUUAUUUUGUGAACCGAAUUAAACCAAUAAACCAUUAUUAAUUAAUAUAUCAAUUCUAAUUAAAAACUAAAUUAUUUUAAAAAUAUAUAAAUUAUAUAAAUAUAAUUAAUAUACGCUAUCAUACUGUUCUAAUAUAACAACAUUUAUACAACUGCUAUAAUAGAGUGGACACCUAAGAUAGCUGGGGCAGACAUAGCGGUUUCAAUAAUGCUAACAUUAGCAUAUGAUAGUUGUAUUCUUACGCUAAGAAUGAACAUUUUUCUUGUAGUGACUGUCUCUCUGAUAUGACUUGAAUAUGAUCGAGUAGCUUCUGAAUGACUAUGUAGGCUCUUGUGUGAAUGUAGCAAUCUUACUCUUCAAGUCUUCAACAAGUGCCUCAUCAAAGAAGUGGCAUAGAAAUGCAUUCUUGAUAUCGGCCCUGGAUGUGAGAGAUCCUGGCUGUAGAUGCUUAAGCCAGUACGAAGCCUCUCCAGCAAGUGAGUACUUGAAGAGCUUGCAAAAUAGGUAGUCCUCAGGGAUUCCAUUGGCUUUAAUAGCAGAAACUAGAUCGUUGAACCUUUCUAGAUGGUCCAUAGGAUGCUCGUGUGAUAACCCACAGUAUGGUGUCUGUCCCAUGAGUGUGAAGUACUUAAGCUUCAACUCAAAGUCUUGCCUCUGUAUGGAUGGAGGACGGAUAGCAGAUCUGUUCUCGUAGUACUAAUUUGACCUGUUGUAAUCAGAUAAUGUCCUCAGUCUAGCAGCCUCGUCUACAGCUUGAGCAGCUGCAAUAUCAGCAUCGGUAUCAGGGAUUACAACCCCUUGAUCAUCUAUCUUCUGACCUGAUGCAUUACGCAGAUGAUCCUCCUGGUCAUGCAGGUUUCCAGUCGCGUCAUGAAUUAAAACUAGUGUCACAACCAUGUCUCGCGGCUCAGUAUCGAUCGAUGUCCGAGUGGAAUGUCGAUCGAUGUCUGGUGGGUAUGGGGGGGGGGUCGAUGGAAGAAUGGUCUCGGUCGACGGUGGAAGGCGAGUGUCGUUCGACGAGCAGGUGUUGUUAUCGACCAAUGUGUUACAUUUUUCUUUGCGGAUGGUGCGUUCUAGAAGUGCAGGAUCUGAAAAGAGAAGUGCAUGUUACUUGUUGCUUCUAGUACUGAUAGGCAUGCACCUGAAAAGACAAGAAUGUUUUUUUAUCAAUUUUUGCAAGAAACAGUUACUUAGACUAAAUGUAGCUAAAUUUGAUCUAAUGGAGAUCGAAGCUCCCCGGCAACGGCGCCAAAUUUUAUAUCACUCAAAUUACCCUAUAGUGAUUUACUCUCUCAAAGUAAGAUGUUCAAUUGUAAUACUUAGGUAUCGAAUUCACAUGGAGCUAAUGCACACAUUAGAUCUAUCUAGUUGUGUAGUUAAGCUAGUCAAGUAGGUUUUAAAGCAGUAAAUAACAAGGGUGAACAAGUAAUUGUUCAAUUGAUUGAUUUGGGUUUUAAGACAGAUAUGGGAAACGUUAGACUUAGGGUUUCUAUUCAAACAAUCAAGAUUAUAGAGAUAUAGAUUACUAAGCAUAUAUGGAUAUUCUAGAACUCAAACAAUAAGAAAAGUCAAUCAACUUUCGUAUAUUUAGACUAUCUAUCGCCAGAUCUAGGAUCUCAGCUGUCGCUUUGUGUCGACCGAUUCCAACAAUGGGGUGUCGAUCGAUACACCUUUCAGCCCGUCGAUCAAUGCAACUAGCGAGUUGUCGAUCGAUGAACCUUCCAGGGAGCGUUAUCGCAAGGGUUUGACGUGUUCACUAGGUUAAACUAAAUCAGCUUCCACUUGUUUCUAGCAAUCAUAGCACAAUGUAAACUAAUCAGACAUAGAACCAAACUUCUGCUUGCGCCGUACUAUCUAAAGGCAAGGUCCUAGUUAGCUACUCUAGAACACAUGUAUUAAGAACAGUUUAGUUGAUUAAUAUUCCUAACACUUAGCAAUUCUAUAUUUUGGGCUAAUCCCUUUUGAAUAUCUAAACCCUAAAUCUAACAAGAAGAACUACUCAUGCAUAGCUAAGGAAUUCAUAACAAAGAGAUAUGAAAACUGCAUAAAAUAGAAUAGAGUAGACAAAUUUGAGUUCCAAUCACAAAUCUCUGAAAGAGUUAUUGGAUCUUCUCUCAAAACCUAAAACUCUAAGUAUUUUGCUGUAUGAAAGUAAGAAAUCGUGUGUUGCCUAGAACAAUGGCAGAGCACAUAUAUAUUAGGUUAAACUCACCAGGGGUAAUAUGAUAAUUUUUGUGGGACUUGGGCUUAAAGUCGGCUGGAACCAUUAUGGCCUCUGACCGCUUCACCGUCGAUCGACAACAUGGAGUGUGUGUCGAUUGAUUAUUGCCUUCUCCCAUCGAUCGAUAGUCAUGGUCAAUGGUCAGCUAUGUAUCUUUAUCAUUUUAUCUCCAAAAUGCACCAAAAUCACAAUUUUUCUCCAAAUCACUCCAAAACCUGAAAACAUAUUAAAAAGACUCCAAAACAAAUAUAAAAUAUUUAAAAACACCUAUAUACCAUAGCGAAAAAUGGGUAAAAUCUAUGGUAUAUUAAUAUUGAUUCCUCUAAAUAAUCCAUUCAGUAUAUUCCAGUUUCUGCUGCAGCUCCUCCAUUGUUUUGCUUAUCCAAGCAAUGUUGUUGUGGAGAAGAUAAAAGAAUGUCCAUCGUUUGGUGCAUCUUGUCGUACAUCUUAUCUUGGUCAAUCAUGCCUUUCUUUAUUAUCUCCAUGACCUCAUCUUUAGUGUAUAUGUCCUCUUCUGGCGAAGGUGUAAGUGUAUGAUGAACUCCAGGCAUAUGAAAACAUCCCUCUUACCGUGGUCUCUUGCCUCAUCACCAUUGCUCGUUGAAUGUGGUCCUCACCACCCAAGACCACCUCACUCCUGCUUCAGCGCUAUUGCUCAUCUCAUGUGGUCGUCAUUGUCUUGCCUCAUCGCUCAGGACUACCUUUCUUCUAUCUCAUUGCCUUGACUCAUUGCCGACACCAUCUGUCUUCUGCUUCUUCAAUCAUAAUUGUUGAAUAACAAAAAGGAAAAAACUCCUACUUUCUCUCUCAAAGAUUUGGAACUGAUAAAAAGGGAAAAGGAGAAAAAAAUAUAUCCCCGUAAAGAGAAGAGAGAAACAUGCAGCUGAAUUACAGCCAUAAUUUUGAUCAUGCUAUAUACAUUUUGAUAUCUUUGUAAUUUUACUGAAUUUUUAAGUUUUAAAUCAAAAUUUACAUCUCAACACAAUUUUUUUAAAUUAGUUUUUUUUAUUAAAACUAGAAAAGUAUUUACUAUGAGGUACACUGCGGAAUUAAAGUGAUUUCUCAUGGAUUAGCCAAAAAUACGGAAUUUGGAUAGAAAUAUAUAUAUAUUCAAAUACCAAUUUUAAGGAGGUUUGUCACUAAAAAUAGAUUAGUUUCAAGGUAUGAUAGAUUUAGCUUCUUAUAUAUAGACACAUACUACUCUUCUAAAUUUUCAGAAUCACACAUAUAGUUCUAAAAAAAAUAAAAUAACACAUUUACUACUCUAUAUUCUAAAGUUCGUAAAACACCUUCAUUCUAUUUCUACCUUUUAAGAUGAGCAAACAGCUUCAAGUCACAUUCAUCGUUUUAACUAUCUUCAUCGUUUUCGUUUUAGAAGUGGUGGGAGAUAGAGAUAGUGAUAGUCAGUUUGGCUGUGAGGAGAGACUGAAUAUGACUACUGAGGACACUUGUUCACGACUAGAGUGUCAAUUUCAGUGUACUUUGAAAAGAAAGGGGUGGGCCACUUGCUUUAAGGAUGCGGACGACCUUUACAAGGGGACCCCCGUUUACAAGUGUCUUUGUGCUUAUUUUUGUCCUAAAUAAUUUCAACAACAUUUAAGCCUUAUCUAUGAGCUUUAUAAUAGAGUAAGAAUCUUGUUGAUCCAAUAUCUAUCUUUAUAUAUAAAGUAUAGUUUCAUCCCUUCUCCUUGCGCCACGUCCUCUGCCACGUAGAUAAGUCGAAUUCUCCUAUGUCGACACGUGUCACUCGGAUUUUUAUCUCUCUGGGUUUUGGAUCAUCUUUAAUCUCGUCGUUUAGUCUUCUGUGCUGAUUAACCGAAACGUUUCGAGCAGAUUAAUUCCCUUUAUCUCCUUCUUAACUCCAUCAACCACAAUCCUACAUUCAAUUCAUCUUUCUCUUCUGCAAGGCGGUUAGUCUUCUACUCUGGAAAUUCAUUCUCUCAAUCCGUGAAAACAAUGGAGUUUUAUCUGAUUAUCGAGAUGAUUAUCUAAACCAACAAUGGAGUUUCGUGAGGGUUAUGUGAGACGAAUCUUCACGAUGAAUCUCUGGAUCUAAACACGUUUUUAAUCUACAAUCAGAUCGAGUUCAGACAUAGAUACAAGCUCCAGUAAGAGAAAGUUGAUCCCACACGGUAAUGGCAACGAGUCUACGGCUUCGUCGUCUACAAAUUCCAAAUCAAAGGUUUUUAUUUCAAAAAAUCAAAGGUUUCAGGAGAUUACAUUCAAGUUAGAGCUAGAAGGGGUCAGGCAAGCAACAGAUAGCCACAGCCUCGCUGAAAGAGCAAUAGGAGAAAAUAUCAGCGAGAUGAUGACUUUACUUCAAGAUCUGGUUCUUGGUGGCAAUCGGAUAACAGGGAAGCAAUUAUGCUUAAUAUGUGCAGUCCUUGCAGAGACAAGACGAUUUCUUCUUCAAUGCUUUGUUUCGAUCUGCAAGGCGGUGUUUUUUGUGUAUAAAUAUAUGAGUGUGUGUGAGAGCAUAGAUAGUGUCAUAGUGAGAGAGGAGAGAAUGAAUGGUGGUGAUGAGGUCGGAGCUUCAUCGUUUUAGAUUGGAGAUUCUCUCAGGUAUUUGGUGAGGGCAGUGUUGGCGAAGAAUUUCAAGAAGGUCCAAAAGAAGCACAAAUAUGAUUCUGUGAAACCGAAGAGACCAUAAAAAGAAAGGAUGAGGAAGAUAGAAAGAAGACAUGGAGAAAUCAAAGAAAUAACUUUUUAUGAAAGUCUAUAGUGGAUGGAGUUAUGUCAGAUGAUGUUGCUUGGUUAUUGAAUCGUAGUCACGACUACUCAUUUGUGGGCUUACAUGGCUUAUCCCAGCCGAGAAUAUAUGAUAAGCUUUGUUAGACGAUUCUGGUCCAUCCCAAAAAGUAUGGAGAGUGAGAUAGUAGUUGAAGCUUUUAAGAACUGCAGAACCCAUAUGAUGUAAUGAUUGUGGUUCAUCAUUUGUAUUGGUGCAUCAAGAACCUCCAUCUCUGAUCUCCCUAGCUGUUUUCUAUUGGUUAAGUCUUGCUAUAUGUUUGGUCUUUUUCAUUUACAAGAGAAUAGUUGAGUUUGAGAGUUGAUGCUUUUGAUGAUUGCACUUAAAAUGACUUAAAGCCACUGAUUAUUGCUGACAAGGAAUUUGAACUGGGGGAGGAAGACUAAGAAGUGAUGCAACUCCUUAUGUGAGAUGCCUGCCAAUCCAGAACCAACAUGGAGGUUUUGUGAGAGGUGGUUAAGGCAGAGGCCAAGCUGAUGGUGGCAAAGGGAAUAAAGAUGGCCCACAAAUUGUGCCUAACAGUUGGAUUGAAAAAUGGAAAAAGCUCUACCAUGGUAUUAGGAAGAAUGUGUAGACAACAAUAGCUGAAGGAUUGUUGCAGUUGUGGAUUAUCAGAUGAACACACUCCUAUCUUUCUAGGAGCAGUCAGAGCUAAAGCCUUUGUUGCUCAGAUUUGCAGUGAUCUUUUUCAUAAUCAGUGGCUACAUGAGAGUGUUUCUGCUGAGUUAGGAUUUAGAGUCUGCAACAAAUGUACGAUAGGUUAAGGCUAUUUUAUUAUGCGGGGAAGAUGAGAAUAAUUCCAUCUCCAUCAGUAGCUUAACUCGCUUAACAUUCAAGAUUGUGGUUAGAGUUGUUUAUCAUCAAAAACCAAAACCCAAGUAGAAACAUGUUCCAAAAGUGAUUUACAAAAUCUUCUUUCUAUUAGUUACUAAUACAUGAAUAUGUUUUUUUAAUUGAUAUAAAAUGGUUAUUGUUAUGUUUGUGGUAAA